ensembl:lncRNA
GCUGAACUCGCUUUGUGAAACCGAAAACCCAGAGUUUUCGUUAACUCAGGGUAUACUUACUCAGUUUUUCCACUAAACCGGCUUCCUGAAACAGGGCCCAGGUGUACGGCCCAGGGCUUCGGAGACAAGCAGCCGAAACUGAAACUAAAAACUAAUGGUGAGUUCAGCAGGAAUUCGGGAUUUCAGAGUCCCCAGUGAGAAUUUGAAUCUGAAACUUCCUCAUAAACUCGGAUUUCCUAUUAGGAAAGUAAGAGCAGCCACACCAAGACCUACUUAACAAUCCAAGACGGCAGCAGUGAAUAAUGUAGUCCGUAAAUCCGAGGUGUAUUGAACGCAGCAGCUAUCAGUACUUACAGCUGGAGGAAGGCGGGGCGUUUCCCUCACAUACAAAACACAAAGUUACAGGAGCC